rnacentral:rRNA from 1 species
GAAUUGAGGGGGCCCGCCACAAGCGGAGGAACAUGUGUUUUAAUUCGAUGAUACGCGAGGAACCUUACCCGGGCUUGAACUGCCAGUGAACGAUACAGAGAUGUAGAGGCCCUUCGGGGCGCUGGUGGAGUGCUGCAUGGUUGUCGUCAGCUCGUGCCGUGAGGUGUCGGCUUAAGUGCCAUAACGAGCGCAACCCCUUUCGUUAGUUGCCAUCAGGUAAAGCUGGGCACUCUGGCGAUACUGCCACCGUAAGGUGUGAGGAAGGUGGGGAUGACGUCAAAUCAGCACGGCCCUUACGUCCGGGGCUACACACGUGUUACAAUGGCGCAUACAGAGAGCCGGUCCUGCGCAAGCAGGGUCCAAUCAAUAAAGUGCGUCGUAGUUCGGACUGGGGUCUGCAACCCGACCCCACGAAGCUGGAUUCGCUAGUAAUCGCGCAUCAGCCAUGGCGCGGUGAAUACGUUCCCGGGCCUUGUACACACCGCCCGUCAAGCCAUGAAAGCCGGGGGCACCUGAAGUCUGUGACCGCGAGGGGCGGCCUAAGGUGAAACUGGUAAUUGGGGCU